GUACUUGCUGCAUGCUACUGAGAAGUCUAAAAGCCUGAACCACUUCAUAAUUCAAAGCAUUAUAGCUUCCAGAAAAGGAAAGCCAUGCCUGGGAUUGCUUGCUCUAGAGUAAAAACUAUGGAAGCUCACAUUUGGAUGGCCAACCGAAAGUUUUAUAAAAACAAGUUGUUCAAGCAUCUCAUAUUCAUAUUACCGUCACCUUUAUCACAACUGCUUCUGAUUGCAGCAAUUUCCCCCCGACCCCCUCCCAGAAACUACAAGCAUAUAAGAAUAUCUAGUGCAUGCCAGUUCACAAAAAGUUCAAAAUAAAAAUGUUGCUUCCACCAAAGUUUGUAUUCUGAUAGAGGAAAGCAAGUAAUUAAGAUUCCGUAUAUUAAAAUGUUUUCUAUUUUAAAUUUGUUUAUCUGUUUAGUGUACUCGAAUUAAAUUUUCUUUAUUAAUAUAUUAUCUUUUUCCAACUUGCAG
rnacentral:misc_RNA from 1 species